CCGGUAGCUAAAUGCGGAAGAGAUAAGUGCUGAAAGCAUCUAAGCACGAAACUUGCCCCGAGAUGAGUUCUCCCUGACUCCUUGAGAGUCCUGAAGGAACGUUGAAGACGACGACGUUGAUAGGCCGGGUGUGUAAGCGCAGCGAUGCGUUGAGCUAACCGGUACUAAUGAACCGUGAGGCUUAACCUUACAACGCCGAAGCUGUU
rnacentral:rRNA from 1 species